rnacentral:lncRNA from 1 species
AAUUGAUUUGGUUCUCGAAGUAUGUGGUUUAAUUAAGGAAAUGUUUAGUUUCUUAAAAAGGGAUAAUUGCGUAUAUACCUCUCAAAACUUCGAAAAUAUCUCAUUUAUUUUUUUUUCUUCUUUCCAAUAUACUCCUCAUAUUUCUCCGUUCUUCCAAAAUACCCCUCCAGUUACCACCCGUUAAGUUAACUUGAAUUAAACGUGAAUUAAAUAUUUACCACAAUUAAAAAAAUUUAAAAUAUUAAUUUUACCCUUAAUUUAAGAGCAAAUAAGAAAUAUUGGUAACAGUAGAGAGGUAUAUUUGAAAAGACCAAAAGUCAAAAUACUUUUUUUGCUCAUGACUUAGGCUUCGUUUGGGAUUGCGGGGAGAUUGCGUUACGUGCGAUGCGAAAGUAGAUUGAAAAAAUACCCUGUUUGUUUUCGCGUUCCGCAUAUUGUGAUGAGUAGGUUACGAUAUAUUUUCUGCGGUCCCAUCGGAGAACACAGAAGCAUAUCCUUAUAUACUUUUUCCUCAACUCCAUUUUAUCUAAUAACCUUAGAUAUACUUCAAUACCAAACUAAGCCUUAAUGGCAAAUAAGAAAAGUCGGUGAUGGUGGAGGGUAUAUUUGAAAUGGCAAAAUAGUAAUUUUAUACAGAUAACAAAGUUUAUUAACAGAUUUUAACUCUAUUGGUAUAUUUGAAAUAGGUUGAAACGUAAAAAAUAUAUUUUCAAUAUUAUCCUUUUAAGAGGGGUAAAUAGAAAGUCAGAAACUUUUCAGAUUUAUAUAAGCAAUUGUUCCUCUUAAAAAAUAUCUCAGAAAAUAAUUUUCUGAUUAGAAAAAUAUUUAUCAUCCAUUU